rnacentral:rRNA from 1 species
AGCAGUCGCCACGGGAAUACGAAGGGUGCAAGCGUUAAUCGGAAUUACUGGGCGUAAAGCGUGCGUAGGCGGUUUGUUAAGUCUGUUGUGAAAUCCCCGGGCUCAACCUGGGAAUGGCAAUGGAUACUGGCAAGCUAGAGUGUGUCAGAGGAUGGUGGAAUUCCCGGUGUAGCGGUGAAAUGCGUAGAGAUCGGAAGAACACCAGUGGCGAAGGCGGCUUACUGGCUCAUACUGGACGCUGAGGUGCGAAAGCGUGGGGAGCAAACAGGAUUAGAUACCCGCGUAGUCCCUGUCUCUUAUACA